rnacentral:misc_RNA from 1 species
UCUCCGUUGGUGAACCAGCGGAGGGAUCAUUACAAGGAUUAACUAUCCAAACCCAUGUGAACUUACCAGUUGUCGUUGCCUCGGCGGGGCCCCCGGGUCCCGCCGUCGGCAAGCUAAACUCUGUUUUAACGUAUUCUCUGAACACGCAAACAAAUAAAUUAAAACUUUCAACAACGGAUCUCUUGGUUCUGGCAUCGAUGAAGAACGCAGC